rnacentral:rRNA from 1 species
ACGUAGGGAGCAAGCGUUGUCCGGAAUUAUUGGGCGUAAAGGGUGCGUAGGCGGUUUUUCAAGUCAGAUGUGAAAUACCCAGGCUUAACUUGGGGGGUGCAUUUGAAACUGGGAGACUUGAGUACAGGAGAGGAAAGUGGAAUUCCUAGUGUAGCGGUGAAAUGCGUAGAUAUUAGGAGGAACACCAGUGGCGAAGGCGACUUUCUGGACUGUAACUGACGCUGAGGCACGAAAGCGUGGGGAGCAAACAG